rnacentral:rRNA from 1 species
AUGCGAGUCCUUGGACUCGCCGCCAUCGAGAGGGCGCGUAAGAGACAGGCCUCGCACGUCACCUGGCUACGCGCGAGCGACGCCAGGAUGGCGUUCUUCCAGGCAAAAAUCAACUCACGGCACCAAAAAAACUUCAUCCAUGCCCUUCACACCAGAGACUCCAUCGUCACCUCCCACGGCGACAAGGAGCGGAUCAUUCAUGAGCAUUUCCAAUCCUCGCUGGGCACAAAACUGCCUCGCAGCCGAACCAUCAACUGGGAGGCCAUUCACCUACUGUCCGUG